CGCCGGAAAACUAAAUGGUACAUUGAGGCAGAAUUGGCCCUCAUUAUAUGCCAACUUUUGAGACCAAGUCGCUUUAACUGAAAUUAUUGUCCCUCCACCAACCUGUGGGAUUUUAAAUGUAUAAAUACUGCCUUUCAAAUAAUUUCCAUCUCCUCCUUUAUUUAUUUUUUCAUUAUCUUUCGUUUCUUCUGCUGUGAUCAGUUGGCUAUGAUAUGAUCUCCCAGUAAUGUCAACCUCAAGACCUAGAAUUGAACCCUGGUCUCCCAUGGGAAUGGCGAUGCGGCAAUCACACUUCCUACCCGUCUUGAUGCAGUGCAAGCGCCACUUACCUCUAAAACUAACGUUUGCAUGAUCUAAACAACACUCAACUUCCAUAGCUGCUCCAUGCAUAUGCAAAGGCAUCAUCGCCGGCGGAUCGCACCUCCCGUGCACAUACGGUUGGUAGCUCGGCACGUCCGGAUUAUCCACUGCCUCUGGCUCUGGAACCACCGCAUACACCAUCACCGCAUUCGGUAAUAAGCUCUCCGAUGACUUCGACAUUCCUGGCUCCGGCGCCGGAGGCAAUUCCUUUCCAUAGUUAAUUCUCUUUGAGAGCUUCAAGCCGUAGUCAACGCAGGUCUCGAACUCGGACAUGUCGCCGGACCUUUUACAGAGAGAAAAUUUACCGGCGAUAAGAUGCGGACAAAAUCAGAAGACUAUAGAGGAGAAGAGAG
rnacentral:misc_RNA from 1 species